AGACAGUAAUGUGUUAGCAUGUUACCCACACACACACACACACACACACACACAGAUGUUUACCGCUUUAUUAGCACUAAUGUUGCACAUGCUCAUCGUCUUACCUAACUGACAAACACCUUCCCAGAACCUUGAUUCCGACUAACACACACACACACACACACGCGCACACACACACACACACACACACACCUGCACUCGGACACCACUGAGCUAAUCAACACGCUUGUAGAGUGCAGUCCACUAAUCACGGCGAAUCACUCCAACGUGUCUGAUUGCGAAGGAGAAAAAGAAAGACUUGUUAUUUGUGCUGUUAACUGACGCCUGGUUUGGAGAGGAACAGCGAGAGAGCAGCUCUGAACUCCAGCAGACCAGCGAGCGGUUACGUGUGGAGAGCUGGAUUCUGCUCAGAGGGGCCGAGUGCCAGUCAAGGAAUGGUGGUGUUGCGUAAUGCUUGUUAAGGAAGUGGAAAUAGAGGUGUACGAUCCAGCAGAGAAAAACGGAGCUUCACGUUACACUGCGCUGCCAACCUCAAGACAUGACGGAAUAAAGACAUUUGCUGCUGCUCCAUGUUCCCCAGCGCUAGCAUCACCAGCAACUUCUCACAUCCCUCAAUAAUUCAUCACCUCGCCUCUGACAUCCAUGAAGACCAUAAAACAUCUCGAGCCAGGCCUGACACAUCUCUGACACAUUUACAAUCUCCUGAUGUUAGCCUCAGUAGGUAAGACACGGAUCCUAUGAAAGGACAACUCCAUAUGUGGUGAGAUCCCGUUGGCAUGAUGACUAAAGCUAAGAGGAGAUCUGGUGACUUGGAAAAUAGCUAUCAACAAAAAUCCAUGCCGAUAGUUUUUCCAGCUUCCGGUUCGCUGUCAAUACGAGAGCGGCCUCUAGAGGCGAAUCACUGGCACCAAAUGCUGUUUGUUUUUACAAACAGACCAUCCCCUUUAAAGAAAAGAACGUGGCCCUCUCAGAAAAAAAGUUUGGGGACCCUGGUAUCGAAGUUUGGGUUUCCCUGUUGCGGAACCAGCACAACCUACAUUCAGAUCAGUGUAUACUGGCAUUCUCUCUCUCUCUCUCUCUCUCUCUCUCUCUCUCUCUCUCUCUCUCUCUCUCUCUCUCUCUCUCUCUCUCUCUCUCUGUGCAGAGCUGCUGGAAGCCUCAAGUUUAACUUGGUUACACCUGGAGAUAAACGUGUGCUUUUCUGACCUUUCCUUUACUGACUUAAUUAAAAACUCAUUAGGGUUUAUAAACCUGAAAAUGCAAGAAAUGGAUUCAGGUUCAUCGUGAUGGAUUACGUAACAGGAGGUGAAUUGAGAUGCUUUCUCAGUAGGCAUGUAGGAAUAUUGGGUUUAGAGACUUCACAACAAAUCACAACUACUCACAUCAGUGAAUUGAGUUCUGGAUUACAGCUGCACAUGCAUCUGUACAUCAUGCUAAUCUUGAACUGUUAUCAGUGGUGGAUCAGUGGGUAAGUCUCUACGUGUGUGAUCAGAAGGUUGUAAGUUCUGCUCCAUUAUAUCGUAACUCCAGCACCAUCACAAGCUGGGAUAUGCAAAGAAAAUCUAAAUUAUUCUACUUGUAACAAAGGUUUUUCUACAAUAGCUGUUUAUAUGUUGUCUGAAAUUGCUUUAUUGUAAAUAAACGUCAAAUUUGUCAAGUUAAGAUGUUAAACUUCGGAUCAGAAGUAGGUAGGUUAAAUCCAAGCGCAGCCACGCUGCCAAUGCUGAGUCCUUGAGCUUAAACGAGAUAACCAUAAGUUUAUAAAGGAUAAAAGGAUAAAACCGUCUGCCAAAUGCCAUAGAUGGAAAUGUAACCUUUAUGAAAGAUUAGCAGAUUUCAGGCUCCCCUGCACGAUCCUGAGGAAUUUCGCAUCUUUACACACCCAUGUGAAAGUAAAUGUCAGCUUGUUGUAGCAUGUACAGCUUCACUGCACAAUUGCUUUGGAUCAAAGCUCAAGAUGUACAGUAUUCCCACCUUGUUCCCAGCAUUACCAGGACUGGCUCUGGAUCUACACCCCUACCUUAACCAAGUGCUUACUGAAGAUGAAUAAAUAGAACAGAAGACAGAUCUGCUGGAUAAACACUGUGUGAUCUGACAAGCUGGUUGUCCAGUCCUCCAUUGAGACUCUGUUCCCUGCUCAUUCAGGUCCAUGGUGUCACACCUCAUUACUAUUUUGCAGUAAAGAGUAUUUGCUCCUCAGCUAUUUUGCAAGGAGGUUCCUGUGGUUGGAAACCUGAAUGUGAGUGCAAGCGUGCUGUUAGUGCCCAGGUUCAGUGACACAAGGUAUCACUUGGUCUUAUGUCAUUUCGAGAUUUUAUUGCCAAGGAAGUUAGAGAUCUCUCGACUUUGUGACAGAUUCAUAGCUCCGGGUUCCUUGGUUCAAUGUUCUCUGGUUUACUUUCAUUUCUGAUGAUGCGAUAUUACCGCUAGGACCAAUAUUUUCAAUAUUACCUUACACACAGAAUUCCUGGGAUAGGAUCUGAAGUAGAGCCUUGGGAGUAGACCAUAACUUACUACAGUAGGUUAUAUUUGACAGGGUUUUUGGACUACAGAGCAGUUUAUGAAACCUUCAACCAGCUAAUAUGCUUUUCCUAUUUCUUUUUCUCUAAGGCUUAUCAUGAACAAAAAAACAGUUUCCAUGUGAUUUUUUUGGAAAAGAGCAUGGGAUGUUGUGAUGUCUGACAGGCCAAAAAUAAGGCAAAAGCAGCUGUCUAAAAUUCUGAAUACUUCAACACCGUAUGCUAUAUUUGUGCAAAACAGCAUUUAAUGGAACAGAAGAAAGGGUUCUGUGCUUCAUUAGUGGGAAUUGCACCAACGAGGAGGAACCUGAACCAUGAUAUGAAACGCAGAAAUAUCAGUCGACCACUACAGUUUGUUAAGUGUGUACAGCAGAUGAGUGAAGAGGUGUUGAAGAAGAAAAGAAAUCAUCAGUCUAAUGCAGAGUUGGUGUUUCGUCCAUCAGGUCUGACGAGGAAGUGUUUGAGGAUGAUUUUGGAAACGUGAGUACACAAUCGAUUGUAGUGUUUUUCAAAACACAUUUUGAAGCAUAUCGUUUAAACAAAAUGAAACAAUGUUACCUUUUAACAGAUAUUUAAACGUUUGGAAAAAAUGCUUUAUAUAAAAGCAACCAGCUCCAGCACCAUCUCCACCAUCUCCACCAUCUCCAUCUCCUUCCUCUUAAACCAGUAGAGCAGAAUCUGCUCUUUCACUGCAAAUCCUCUUAGGAUGUGUUUAAGCAAAUAGCACAAUCUAAAAAACUAAAUCCUGACAAACAAGGCGGCAAAAAACAACGGACCAACAUCGACGGAAAUAAUCUGCGCUCUCGUCGCCAUUACUCAUUUGUCUUUACAGGUAGCUGGUGAAGUGUUUUCCCCUCGGGCCGGAUCAAUAGCAGCCCUGCGUGCUUAGAUGUUUUGCCCUGAAAAAAAUAAAAUCGAUACAGAUGAAUAAGUAGCGGAACGAGCCGAGCUCUGGGGCUUAUUCUGCAGGACCAGGUGGGGGGUUUGCGGUCUUGCUGAGGGAUAAUCCACAGCAUGCUGGUGUGAGAUGGUGUGAGGUCUAUAAUGGGUCAUCAGGGGGUUAGCGAGGCACGGGGGCGAAACAGGAGUUCUGUCAGGUUGCAUUUCCCCGUAAUGCAGAUUAGUGGCAAAACCAGAGCAAAAGCACCAGGAAUCUCUGAUAUCUCUGUGAUAUGAGACGAGAUAUGAGAUCCUGCUGGUCAGACGGAACUCUGGAAUCAUUUUAGCUAAAGGUUUGUACAGCUUUUAAUUAAAGGCUUGAGGUUUGACAGGGUCUUUGUUGUGGGCGUGGCCUGUCCAGCUUUUUGUGAUUUGUUAGUAGGAGCUCUACCACGAAUCAAAUAGUUAGUUUUUAAAAUGGAUAGUGGAUAAAAAACAAACACUCCAUGUUAAAUAUUA